UACAGAGGGGGCCAGCGUUAUUCGGAAUUAUUGGGCGUAAAGGGCUCGUAGGCGGCCAACUAAGUCGGACGUGAAAUCCCUCAGCUUAACUGGGGAACUGCGUCCGAUACUGGAUGGCUUGGAUUUGGGAGAGGGAUGCGGAAUUCCAGGUGUAGCGGUGAAAUGCGUAGAUAUCUGGAGGAACACCGGUGGCGAAGGCGGCAUCCUGGACCGGUAUUGACGCUGAUGCGCGAAAGCCAGGGGAGCAAAGCGGGAU
rnacentral:rRNA from 1 species